rnacentral:misc_RNA from 1 species
AUCACUAACACAUGUAUAGACCUUCAAUACAAAAACAACAACAGAACAAAUUAUUUAUUGAUUAACCCAAAACAAAUUAUAAAACAAAAAGAAGGUCAACGUAUUACGAUAUCAUAUGGAACAUAAUGAUCAAUACAUGGAAAUUUUUGGCCAAGUCCGCAUAUAGAACUGGUUUAUCAAAUUUUUCCCUAUUGAAAUUGAGCGAAAUUAUUGCAGCUCAAAAAUACCAUAAAAAUAAAGGGAAAUCCUGUUUCUAUAUCUUGGGUCCAAUAUAUAUGCCACAGGGUUAACCCCCAACUUUCCCUCCAAGCCCAACCAAAUCAUAUUGUAAACAGAUUUUCCAGAUUUACGGUGCUUCUUUCACUAACCUAGCUUACAACCAUGAUAGUAGAGACUUUAAAAUUUUCAUACAGUACCUUCAAAUUUGAGAAAGCAUCAUCAAACUACUUGAGAUGAGCCAGUUAUGAAAGCUAACAUACACUGUAUGAAUAAGAUGACAAAAAGAACAAGAAGUAACCAGGAUAUAUGUUCUCAUAAUUUCAAGAGAAAGAAGGGAAAUAGUAUGUACAAAUUAAAUGCAUAUUAAAAUAUGAUAUGUUGCUAUUUAAACCUAUAGAAG